AUUGAACGCUGGCGGCAUGCCUAACACAUGCAAGUCGAGCGGAGCGGCGGACGGGUGAGUAAUGCCUAGGAAUCUGCCUGGUAGUGGGGGAUAACGUCCGGAAACGGGCGCUAAUACCGCAUACUAUCAGAUGAGCCUAGGUCGGUUUGGCUAGUUGGUGGGGUAAAGGCCUACAAAGACGACGAUCCGUAACUGGUCUGAGAGGACGAUCGGUCACACUGGAACUGAGACACGGUCCAGACUCCUACGGGAGGCAGCAGUGGGGAAUAUUGGGCAAUGGGCGAAAGCCUGACCCAGCCAUGCCGCGUGUGUGAGGAAGGUCUUCGGAUUGUAAAGCACUUUAAGUUGGGAGGCGUUACCAAAAGAAUAAGCACCGGCUAACUUCGUGCCAGCAGCCGCGGUAAUUC
rnacentral:rRNA from 1 species